AUUGAACGCUGGCGGCAUGCCUUACACAUGCAAGUCGAACGGCAACACGGGAGUAAUCCUGGUGGCGAGUGGCGAACGGGUGAGUAAUAUAUCGGAACGUGCCCAGUCGUGGGGGAUAACGCAGCGAAAGCUGUGCUAAUACCGCAUACGAUCUACGGAUGAAAGCGGGGGAUCGCAAGACCUCGCGCGAUUGGAGCGGCCGAUAUCAGAUUAGCUAGUUGGUGGGGUAAAGGCCCACCAAGGCGACGAUCUGUAGCUGGUCUGAGAGGACGACCAGCCACACUGGAACUGAGACACGGUCCAGACUCCUACGGGAGGCAGCAGUGGGGAAUUUUGGACAAUGGGCGCAAGCCUGAUCCAGCAAUGCCGCGUGCAGGAUGAAGGCCUUCGGGUUGUAAACUGCUUUUCUACGGAACGAAACGGCCCUUUCUAAUACAGGGGGCUAAUGACGGUACCGUAAGAAUAAGCACCGGCUAACUACGUGCCAGCAGCCGCCGUAA
rnacentral:rRNA from 1 species